UUGCUGACUCAGAUGUUGGCUGGAGGGACAACUGCAGAUGUUUAAGGCAGAUACUUGUACCUGGUGCUGCUCUCUGCAAGGCACUGGCUGGAAGCUCUGCUGAAGGAAAGGAUUUCAUUCCAUAGAGCAUCUGCAUAAACACAAACAAAACCACUGAAGAUGGAAGAUGACAGCAGUGAACUCUGCUCCUAAGGGAAACAGCUUCACCAACCUCAUCACACGGAAGAGACGGAAAAAAGUGAUGGAGAUCCGAGCACUGUCCUCAGAGUUCUGAAGAGCAUCAGGAAAAGUCAAACCAAAUACAAACUCAAACAUGCAACACUUCCAGAAAAACAACAUAAAAUGCAAAGGUGGAAGAGCAUGGAAAGCCCAACUUUCUAUGUGACCUUCUGCUACCUCAUGAGAUAUGAAUGCUCUCCAAACCCAAACCUCUCACAGAAAAAGAAAUCAUCAUUUGUUAAACCAAGCCACUGAAAACUUACAGAAACUUGAAUUGUCUUGGUCAAGUUACCUACAAAAAGCAAUGGGCUUCAAGUAAGAUAGUAACAUCAGCUUACUUUUUUUUAAUAUUUUCUGUGCAUAUAUAGAAAAACAAUUUUUAUUGUCUCACUGUGCUGUGUGCAUGUGCAGCUAU